UACGGAGGAUCCAGGCGUUAUCCGGAUUUAUUGGGUUUAAAGGGUGCGUAGGCGGCUUUUUAAGUCAGGGGUGAAAGACGGUAGCUCAACUAUCGCAGUGCCCUUGAUACUGAAGAGCUUGAAUACACUAGAGGUAGGCGGAAUGUGACAAGUAGCGGUGAAAUGCAUAGAUAUGUCACAGAACACCAAUUGCGAAGGCAGCUUACUAUGGUGUCAUUGACGCUGAGGCACGAAAGCGUGGGGAUCAAACAGG
rnacentral:rRNA from 1 species